rnacentral:rRNA from 1 species
UACGUAGGGUGCGAGCGUUAAUCGGAAUUAUUGGGCGUAAAGAGCUCGUAGGUGGCGUGUCGCGUCUGCCGUGAAAGCCCAUGGCUUAACUGUGGGUCUGCGGUGGAUACGGGCAGGCUGGAGGCUGGUAGGGGCAAGCGGAAUUCCUGGUGUAGCGGUGAAAUGCGCAGAUAUCAGGAGGAACACCGGUGGCGAAGGCGGCUUGCUGGGCCAGUUCUGACGCUGAGGAGCGAAAGCGUGGGGAGCGAACAGG